GCAUCGGGAAGAGGGAAAAGGAGCAAUCCGCUUUGAGAUGGCCUCGCGUCCGAUUAGCUAGUUGGUGAGGUAACGGCCCACCAAGGCAACGAUCGGUAGCCGGACUGAGAGGUUGAACGGCCACAUUGGGACUGAGGCACGGCCCAGACUCCUACGGGAGGCAGCAGUGGGGAAUAUUGCACAAUGGGGGAAACCCUGAUGCAGCGACGCCGCGUGGAGGAAGAAGGUCUUCGGAUUGUAAACUCCUGUUGUUGAGGAAGAUAAUGACGGUACUCAACAAGGAAGUGACGGCUAACUACGUGCCAGCAGCCGCGGUAAAACGUAGGUCACAAGCGUUGUCCGGAAUUACUGGGUGUAAAGGGAGCGCAGGCGGGAAGACAAGUUGGAAGUGAAAUCCAUGGGCUCAACCCAUGAACUGCUUUCAAAACUGUUUUUCUUGAGUAGUGCAGAGGUAGGCGGAAUUCCCGGUGUAGCGGUGGAAUGCGUAGAUAUCGGGAGGAACACCAGUGGCGAAGGCGGCCUACUGGGCACCAACUGACGCUGAGGCUCGAAAGUGUGGGUAGCAAACAGGAUUAGAUACCCUGGUAGUCCACACCGUAAACGAUGAUUACUAGGUGUUGGAGGAUUGACCCCUUCAGUGCCG
rnacentral:rRNA from 1 species